CAUAGAUUGUAUAAGUGGUGUAAGGCCUUUUGGUGUAUCUCUACUGGUUGCUGGAUACGAUGACAAUGGUCCACAAUUGUAUCAGGACGUGAAAGCAAUUGGAUUAACACAGGGUGAUGCGACUAUGGAAUCUUCCCCAGUUUCUCAAACAACAGAUCUGAGGCCUACUUUUUCAGAUAAUGUACCUAAUCUAGGUAAUGGUGGAAAUGUUUCGGCAAUGAAUGUGAAUAAUAAACUGCCCACAUUAUAGAUUUGUAACAUUCUAUACCCGACUCGAUUGUCGAAUUCGAGUUACGGGAUAUCAUUCUUGUUGUCGGAACAAUUAUGAUCAAUUUCAAUUCAAUUUAACAAUUAGUACAUAUUAUAAAGU